UACGUAGGGUCCGAGCGUUGUCCGGAAUUACUGGGCGUAAAGAGCUCGUAGGUGGUUUGUCGCGUUGUUCGUGAAAACUCACAGCUCAACUGUGGGCGUGCGGGCGAUACGGGCAGACUUGAGUACUGCAGGGGAGACUGGAAUUCCUGGUGUAGCGGUGGAAUGCGCAGAUAUCAGGAGGAACACCGAUGGCGAAGGCAGGUCUCUGGGCAUUAACUGACGCUGAGGAGCGAAAGCAUGGGGAGCGAGCAGG
rnacentral:rRNA from 1 species